rnacentral:pre_miRNA from 1 species
UGCCUGCAACUGUGUGUGUGUGUGUGUGUGUGACUGUCUAACUGUGUGUAUGACUGUCUCACACACACACACACACACAGUUGCAGGCAGA